CUCAUCGAUACAUACAUACAUACAUACCUACAUAUAUAUGUGAGUGUGUGUGUAUGUAUGUAUGUAUGUAUAUAUACA
rnacentral:pre_miRNA from 1 species